rnacentral:misc_RNA from 1 species
CUGGAGCACGAAGACGACCAGCGAGGCCCGGCCGAUCACGGCGAUCCAGUCGAGGGCGGCGCGCAGCCAUGCGCGGGUCGUCAGCGACAGCCAGAAGAGGCC